GGCCUGAUGGUCUAAAGGUAUGGUUCUCGCUUCGGGUGCGAGAGGUCCUGGGUUCGAAUCCCAGCUCGGCUC
rfam:Angiostrongylus cantonensis strain Taiwan genome assembly, scaffold: ACAC_scaffold0004652